rnacentral:rRNA from 1 species
GACGAAGGAUGCAAGCGUUAUCCGGAUUCACUGGGUUUAAAGGGUGCGUAGGUGGGUCUGUAAGUCAGUGGUGAAAUCUUCGAGCUUAACUCGGAAACUGCCAUUGAUACUAUAGAUCUUGAAUUUUCUGGAGGUAAGCGGAAUAUGUCAUGUAGCGGUGAAAUGCUUAGAUAUGACAUAGAACACCAAUUGCGAAGGCAGCUUACUACGGGAACAUUGACACUGAGGCACGAAAGCGUGGGGAUCAAACAGG